UACCAUGUUAAUAUGUUUAAAAUUAAUAUGUUUUUGACCCAAGAAUAAACAUUAAGAUUAUUUUUUAGAAAUGAGCAGCCAAGAUACAGAAGGCGACGAAGAAGUUUCUGCAUUUUUUCGAAAUGUUCAAGAGAUCAGAGCCGAAGAGCUCUUGCCAAGUAAGCUAACUUUGUAUGAGAAAGAUAUGUUACAAAGAUAUAUAUUUCAAUUUGUUAAUUAUAACUUUUUUUUA
rnacentral:lncRNA from 1 species